AAAACAGUACUCAAUCCAAAUGUGAAGUAUAUUCUCAAAUGAGAAUGUUAUGUAAAAUAUUAUGGUGAUUUUUGUCUGGAAACAACAGAGCAUUAAGUUGCCGGCAUAGAAUUUGUGCAUGCCUUAUGUUUACCAGUAAUUGUCUUCAUUAUUUGCCAAACUUGCUUUGAAUUAUAUUUGUGCUUCAGAAGCAACUUCAAGACUUUUUAAUUCCUUUAGUUAUUCAAGGACAAGAUAGCUCUUUGGUGUUAAGAAUUAUUUCACGCAAUAGAAAGUUGUGCGUUGUAAAUUUAAAAAAAAAGUUAAAAAAAAAAAGAGUUAUAGAUGAGGUUUAUAUCGUCAUUGAAAUUUAUAUAUCUCCAGUCUUGAUUCAAAAGUUGCUCU